UUGCACGCUGGCGGCAUGCUUUACACAUGCCAGUCGCACGGCAGCGCGGGCUUCGGCCUGGCGGCGAGUGGCGAACGGGUGAGUAAUACAUCGGAACGUGCCCAGUAGUGGGGGAUAGCUCGGCGAAAGCCGGAUUAAUACCGCAUACGACCUGAGGGUGAAAGCGGGGGAUCUUCGGACCUCGCGCUAUUGGAGCGGCCGAUGGCAGAUUAGCUAGUUGGUGGGGUAAAGGCCUACCAAGGCGACGAUCUGUAGCUGGUCUGAGAGGACGACCAGCCACACUGGGACUGAGACACGGCCCAGACUCCUACGGGAGGCAGCAGUGGGGAAUUUUGGACAAUGGGCGAAAGCCUGAUCCAGCAAUGCCGCGUGUGUGAUGAAGGCCUUCGGGUUGUAAAGCACUUUUGGCGGGAACGAAAAGGACUGUGCCAAUACCACGGUUCGAUGACGGUACCCGCAGAAUAAGCACCGGCUAACUACGUG
rnacentral:rRNA from 1 species